UACGUAGGUGGCAAGCGUUGUCCGGAUUUAUUGGGUUUAAAGGGUGCGUAGGCGGUCUUAUAAGUCAGUGCUGAAAUAUCCCGGCUUAACCGGGAGGGUGGCAUUGAUACUGCAAGACUUGAGUAGAGUUGGAGGUUGGCGGAAUUGACGGUGUAGCGGUGAAAUGCUUAGAUAUCGUCAAGAACACCGAUAGUGAAGACAGCUAACUAAGCUCUAACUGACGGCUGAGGCACGAAAAGUGUGGGGGAUCAAAACAGGG
rnacentral:rRNA from 1 species